AAUCAAUGAUGAACCUAUCCCGAACCUGAUUUCUUGAUGAAAAAACUUAACAUACGGAUCUGGCUUCUGAGAA
ensembl:snoRNA